rnacentral:pre_miRNA from 1 species
GUGCAUUGUAGUUGCAUUGUAUGGGAAGGGAUGUACAAUGCAUCUGCAGUGCAGCA